UACGUAGGGGGCAAGCGUUGUCCGGAUUUAUUGGGCGUAAAGAGCGUGUAGGCGGCCUGGUAGGUCAGCUGUGAAAACUCGAGGCUCAACCUCGAGACGCCGGUUGAAACCAUCAGGCUAGAGUCCGGAAGAGGAGAGUGGAAUUCCCAGUGUAGCGGUGAAAUGCGCAGAUAUCGGGAAGAACACCCGUGGCUAAGGCGGCUCUCUAGUACGGUACUGACGCUGAGACGCGAAAGCGUGGGGAGCGAACAGG
rnacentral:rRNA from 1 species